rnacentral:rRNA from 1 species
UACGAAGGGGGCUAGCGUUGCUCGGAAUUACUGGGCGUAAAGGGCGCGUAGGCGGAUAGUUUAGUCAGAGGUGAAAGCCCAGGGCUCAACCUUGGAAUUGCCUUUGAUACUGGCUGUCUUGAGUAUGGGAGAGGUGAGUGGAACUCCGAGUGUAGAGGUGAAAUUCGUAGAUAUUCGGAAGAACACCAGUGGCGAAGGCGGCUCACUGGCUCAUUUCUGACGCUCAGGCGCGACAGCGUGGGGAUCAAACAGG